rnacentral:rRNA from 1 species
CACAAGUGAAUGUAAAAUUCGAGUUCAAAACUUUCAACAACGGAUCUCUUGGUUCUCGCAUCGAUGAAGGGCGCAGCGAAAUGCGAUAAGUAGUGUGAAUUGCAGAAUUCCGUGAAUCAUCGAGUUCUUGAACGCAUAUUGCGCCUCCAGGCGUUCCUGGAGGCAUGCCUGUUCGAGUGUCAUCAAAUACCCUCAGGAAUGGAUUUUGGAAUUCGCUCCUGGUAUUGAUUGCGUAGCAGGCGGCACCGUUGCCUUUGCUUCCGAUCGAAUUCCAUUGGCGCCAGCUGCGUCUUUCCCUUCGGCAUAAUAGCAUUGUUACCUUGCCGUCGUGAGAUCGGCUGGCUGCCCGCUUCUGUACAUUGUUCGAUUCUAUAACCUCGAAUCAGGCAAGAGCACCCGCUGAACUUAAGCAUAUCAAUAAGCGGAGGAAAUCGAAUUCCCGCGGC